UAGGGANNCUUCGGCAAUGGACGGAAGUCUGACCGAGCAACGCCGCGUGAGUGAAGAAGGUUUUCGGAUCGUAAAGCUCUGUUGUAAGAGAAGAACGAGUGUGAGAGUGGAAAGUUCACACUGUGACGGUAUCUUACCAGAAAGGGACGGCUAACUACGUGCCAGCAGCCGCGGUAAUACGUAGGUCCCGAGCGUUAUCCGGAUUUAUUGGGCGUAAAGCGAGCGCAGGCGGUUAGAUAAGUCUGAAGUUAAAGGCUGUGGCUUAACCAUAGUACGCUUUGGAAACUGUUUAACUUGAGUGCAAGAGGGGAGAGUGGAAUUCCAUGUGUAGCGGUGAAAUGCGUAGAUAUAUGGAGGAACACCGGUGGCGAAAGCGGCUCUCUGGCUUGUAACUGACGCUGAGGCUCGAAAGCGUGGGGAGCAAACAGGAUUAGAUACCCUGGUAGUCCACGCCGUAAACGAUGAGUGCUAGGUGUUAGACCCUUUCCGGGGUUUAGUGCCGUAGCUAACGCAUUAAGCACUCCGCCUGGGGAGUACGACCGCAAGGUUG
rnacentral:rRNA from 1 species